rnacentral:rRNA from 1 species
GAGGAAUAUUGGUCAAUGGGCGAGAGCCUGAACCAGCCAAGUAGCGUGCAGGAUGACGGCCCUAUGGGUUGUAAACUGCUUUUAUAAGGGAAUAAAGUGGGGCUCGUGAGCUCUUUUGCAUGUACCUUAUGAAUAAGGACCGGCUAAUUCCGUGCCAGCAGCCGCGGUAAUACGGAAGGUCCGGGCGUUAUCCGGAUUUAUUGGGUUUAAAGGGAGCGUAGGCCGCAGGUUAAGCGUGUUGUGAAAUGUAGGGGCUCAACCUCUGCACUGCAGCGCGAACUGACUUGCUUGAGUACGCACAACGUGGGCGGAAUUCGUGGUGUAGCGGUGAAAUGCUUAGAUAUCACGAAGAACUCCGAUUGCGAAGGCAGCUCACGGGAGCGCAACUGACGCUGAAGCUCGAAAGUGCGGGUAUCGAAC